AUUGAACGCUGGCGGCAGGCCUAACACAUGCAAGUCGAGCGAGUGGCGGACGGGUGAGUAAUGUCUGGGGAUCUGCCCGAUAGAGGGGGAUAACUACUGGAAACGGUGGCUAAUACCGCAUACUAUCGGAUGUGCCCAGAUGGGAUUAGCUAGUAGGUGGGGUAAAGGCUCACCUAGGCGACGAUCCCUAGCUGGUCUGAGAGGAUGAUCAGCCACACUGGAACUGAGACACGGCCCAGACUCCUACGGGAGGCAGCAGUGGGGAAUAUUGCACAAUGGGCGCAAGCCUGAUACAGCCAUGCCGCGUGUAUGAAGAAGGCCUUAGGGUUGUAAAGUACUUUCAGCGGGGAGGCGUUACCCGCAGAAGAAGCACCGGCUAACUCCGUGCCAGCAGCCGCGGUAAUUC
rnacentral:rRNA from 1 species